UGAGAUGCGUCCAAGGCCUAAGCGGGUCUUACCUUGACUCUACCCCUACAUAUUAACAUCUCAAAUAGUAUAUAAAGAAAAACACCUCUUAUAUCUAUCUGAUUACUUGUUCAUUUUUUGGUUGUUUUGUAUCUGAUUUAACUUAUUGAACAUUGUUUGCAUUAGGGUGUAUAAAGAUAUUUGAUGCCCAACAUCUUAGUCUCUUGUCCUUUCAUAGCGUUAGCAUCAGCGCCCGAGAUACAUGUUUCAUUGUAAGGAUUGAAAGUUGUAUAUAUAUAGGUUGGUGAUUGAAUGUCUUUCUACCAAAAAAUUACCGGGAGAUACAUAUAGAUUGGUGUGCACAUCAAGAGUUUCAUUGUAAGGAUUUAGAGUUAUAUAUAUAGGGUAGUGACUGAAUGCCUUUCAACCAAUAAAUUAUGGGGAGAUACAUAAAGGUUGGUGUGGGCCUCAAAAGCUUCAUUAUAAGGACUGAGAGUUAUAUAUAUAGGUAAGCGAUCGAACAUCUUUCUACCAAAAUAUUAUGGGGAGAUACAUAGAGGUUGGUGUGGGCCUCAAAUGUUUCAUUGUAAGGAUUGAUAGUUAUAUAUAUAUAGGCAAGUGAUCGAAUGUCUUUCUACCAAAAAUUUAUGGGGAGACACAUAGAGGUUUGUGUGCGUCUCAAAAGUUUCAUUAUAAGGAUUGAUGGUUAUAUAUAUAGGUUAGUGAUUGAAUGCCUUUCAACCAAUAAAUUAUGGGGAGAUACAUAGAGGUUGGUGUGGGCCUCAAAAGUUUGAUUAUAAGGAUUGAAUGUUAUAUAUAUAGAUUGGUGAUUGAAUGUCUUUCAACCAAUAAGUUAUGGGGAGCUACACAGAGGGUGGUGUGGGCCUCAAAAGAUUCAUUAUAUGGAUUGAAAGUUAUAUAUAUAUAGAUUGGUGAUUGAAUGUCUUUCAACCAAUAAAUUCUGGCUCCGCCACUUUUUAGCAUCAGUUCAUAGAGUGAUUUUCCUCAAUGCAUGACUCAGUAAUUGGACCGAAAUCAAUUACGUUGAGACUAUCUCGAAACACCAAAUUCAACUGUUUCAUAUCGAACUAUUAGCUUGAACGCGCAGAACAUAACGUUCCACGGAACAGUGGCAAACAAGGGACUGCGUGGGAAAAUAUAGAUUGUUCUUGAAAUGAACCCAUGUCGUUUGCUUCAUACGUUCCGUAUGGACCAUCUCUUACCACGGGAAACAAGAAACAUAUCGGACAGUUUAAAGGAGAUGGCACCGAUCAAACCACCUCUUAACUAUAUUAAGCGGACGUUUGAAUGCUUUGGUGCGAUGGACGUAAAAGGCGCAGUAACGUGGAGUGUGACCACGAAAUGGGGUAACUAUAUUAAACACUGUAAAAUUUAUAGUUGAGAAAAUUCGUGGGCUCCAUUCGGCAUGUGGUUGGGUCAUUGGGUCAGUGAGUUGACUUGUUGACUUGAUCGAGUAUUCAAAUAACCAUAAUUGCAGAUGAAUCGGGCGAGUCAUAAGCAAUUUGGGCCAAAUCUUGACUCUUACUAAAUUUGUUGGCGAUCCGAGCAUUCUCGAAACAGCCCGGCGAGUUUGCCAAUUGUGGUAAAAUUGAAAAGAAUGCGACUACAGUAAAAAAAAACAAAAAAAGUGAUUAGACAUGAAAUCCCUGAUAACUAAAUAGUUAUCUUUUGAAUUUAAGAUUGGACGGAAUGUUUGAUUGCUUGGGAUAUCCAACAAGCGUUUCUGUUUAUUUGACAUUUAAUGGUUGGUCCCUUGUGAACGUCACGUAACCUUUCGAGUCACAUGGACUCUGAUUUUAUCCCCACAUUGAGUUCGGGCUCCCGGUUUGGUGCACAUCAAUUUAGUCAUAGCGGUUUUGGUUUCCAUCGAAAACCUUGAGAACUAAAUGAAACAAUCGUUUAACCAACACCUACGUAAACCUUCAGAAAAUUCUUAGAUAUCGGAUCAAACUUUUUUAUAACAAGCCAUUACUUAUUCCGCCUAUUGACAAACGGACAGAGUCGACACUUGAUCUAAAACAGUUUACUAUUCGAUCACAUGGUCUUGCAAGUAAAGCUAAUUCAAUCAUCGUUUUAUUUCAGGAGUCGCUCGGCAAUAAAACAGUGUAUCCAAACUGUUGCAUGACUAAAGGUUGAGACUGAUUGAUGGAACAUUUCCAUUACAAUAUUUCAUGAAUCUGUCCAAGUUUAUAAUGCAGCUUAAACGGAACAGUUUGAUAAUCAUGCUAGGCUUCGCAUGAACCGUAUGAAAUAGUUUCAUGUGAUGCAAACGGAUCAACUAGGUUCACCAAGAGUACGAUUUGGAUCAAAUCCGGUCAAAACUUUCAAAACCUCCGACAAGAUCUUUCCCCGUAAUGCCAAAGCGUUAAGUUGCAUUUGAUAGUUUCAAAUCUUAAACUCAAAGCUGCUUUGAGAUCGAAAACUGAUCUCAGUUCUAUAAUGAAACAAACGCAAUCUUAUAUUUUCGUUAAUCUAUUUCUGUUAAUUUUCUAAAUUUUAUGUUUAAUUAAUCUUAAAAAACAAAUUGAUUAGUAUUUGAACUUUAAAAACCAUGGUUUCAACUUUAAAUUCGUCGGCAACUUCGGCAUUCCCUCCUCUGGCGCGUUCCCUCGCUUUUUUCUGCAUUCGUUCCCGCGUGCUUUCUUUUCUUUCCCCGCUUCCUCCCUUUUUUCACUUUGCCGUGACGUCGACGGCUUGUAGGGUACACCAGCCGGAAGUAGGAUCGAAGGGAAGGCCUUCCUGAACCGACGAGGGCUAAGUGAGUAAGUGGUUGUCCGGCAAGCUCCGUCCUACAUAGAGGAUUAUUGCUAGCGGUCCCUGAAGGUUGAUUAUCGGGGAUCGGCAGCAAAGAGGCUGGUAGGUCGCCGUCGUCAUGUGGCCACGAUGAUCCAAGAACCGGUGAUCUUUGUGAAUCCAUCUGUUUGCUUUGAGUCCUGUGUUUUUCCGAGAAAGGUUAACAUUGUUUGUUGUUUUGCGUUUUUAGUUAUGCAUCGGAUUUUUUACAAUUAAACCGUCGAUUUUUCUUUUCCCAUUCGUACCUGCCAACGAUUAUUUUUGGUUUCUAGAUGUAGUAUGUACGGAUUUUAGUUUGGGUUUUACAUGAAUUAUUGUCUGUUAGGGCAUUGAUGAGUGGGACCUUCUAUUCUUUCGUUUUUUUGGUCUCUUUGCCUACUUUAACCCAGUAUCGGUAGGAACUUGAGCGCGUUCGGGGAAUUAGAGAAUUGAUUUUGUUUUUUAGAUCCCGUUUUAUUCGGGCAUCAAGGUGGAUUCGGGUUCUUCUGCUGUUUGGUUAACUGUGCUGCCUUUGGCUGCGUUCCUCAGCUUGUUUGUUACCCUAGAUGCUCUCUGUAGUGGAUUCUUUCGUUUAUUUUUUGCGUCGGUUGCAUAUAAUUUGCUAAAAGUACUUCCAUCACUGGCAACGCUGCAGAUGUAAGCAGAAAAAUGCUCUCCCACUAUUGACCUUCAGUCUUGUUCAGUUUUUUUAGCGUUUCACAUACGACUGAAUAAUUUAAAAGAAAAGUGUUGAACGUUAUAAAAUGCUUCAUGUGCACGGGCACACUCAUAUGGAUGCAGGUAUUAGUUCUAUGUAUAUUUUCAAGUUUGAAAUUGCGGGUACCUGAUUGAACUCAUGACAGAUUGCCAUAUGAAUCGGUUAAAUGUGAUUAUCCUACCAGAAUAACAGUUAUGGCCGUCCUGCUUUUCCAACUUGUUAGAAACUUGUUUCUUUGAUUUUUCAACUGAAGCAACAUUAUCUUGUCCAAAAUCAAGAUUAUCCAUGAGUUGCUCCUGAUCAAACUUUUGACAACUCUUUUUCAUCUAGCUACAGGAAUGGAGUAGCACAAGAAAUUGGCUAUAAUUAUGCUGUAGUUCAUAUUUGUCGAGCAGGUAUUGCUGGAAGCAAUCUAUGCUUUUUCCUGUCUUGUGCUUUUGCGAUUUGAAGUCAUUUUCUAUAAGAUUAUUUCUCCAAUUGGGUUUUCAAUGCGUUCAACUCAAGAAGGUGUGAAGAGCUGUUGGCACUUAGCAGUUCGUUGUUUACAACACUGUCUCAUCCUUGUUUAAGAUGCUCUACUUUAAUAUGGCAAUCUAUGAAAGACCCUUUUUUCAGUUCGUAACUGGUGGGACAAGUGUUGGAUGCAUUGUUCAAGUUCAAGCUUGGUUGAAAUAGAUUCUUGUUAUUUUUUAUCGCUUCUUGUUGCUGGAAUAGAUUGUACUUUGUUUAUCGUAACUGUUGCACUAAAAUGAAGUCUUUCAUUUGGUUCUUUAAGUUUUAAUAACCUAUCAAUCUUGCCUUUCUUAUUCAUGAGGGAAGGAGGUGGAUGAUCCUUCUCCUCAUUUAUUUGAAAGGAGUUGCCAUGAAAAUGGUAAUUUCCUCACGAGUGAGGAAAAGGGAAGAUGGUAGGAAACAACUCCCUCUUUCUCCUUAUUAUAAAUAAAGGGAUUGAAAGAGGAAAAAAAAAAGACAACAUCCUUCAGCCAAAAUGUCCCUAAACAAUCUCUCAAACUUGGUAUUUCCAAAUUCCAAUGAUAGAAAGUUGUUGUCGCCCUUGCGAUCAAAAGGCACAUCAUGCCACAUUUGAGUUGUUUGUGUUAACAUCUAUGUGACCACCACCGACUCAUCAAGCCACCAAAUUGACUUGCUUUUGUGGGGACAUAAAGGUCAGACCACUUUUAAUAUUUGAUUUGGUGAAGACCAUCAUUGGUGCAAGAAGCAGAUUGCUUGCAAUUUGAUGUACUUGGUCAAACCCAAAUGCAAUUGGUGGAAUCUUGGGUGAGCCCAUGUUCAAUGGCCCAAUCUAUGUUGUUAAUCAGAGGCUGCGGCACAUAGGUGCUGAUAUCGCAAGAUGGGGAUCGUGACUCUUUGCAUUGAGCCUUAAGGGGGGAGCAGCGGUGGAGCUCAUCCAACGGCCGGACGACCACUGGAGUGCCGAGAGCAAGAAAAAGAGAGGUUUUGAAUCCCUCUUUUUCUGAACCUGGCCAGAUGGACCCUCCGCGACGGGAUGGUUUUAAUUCUGUAAAAAUUGAGAAAGAGUUUCUUCUGUGGUGGCGUUUAAUUGAAGUUCUGAGUUGAAGCUCAGAAAUAUCACAUCCAUCGAAUUAACAACAUGAACUUGGCGCUGGCCGAGGGUUCAUGUUUGGUUUUUCGGCAAGCCCUUUGCCUCUUCUUGUAGAUGGCUAGAGAGAGAGAGGGUGGACGGCGGUGGGCUUGCCGGCACCUCUUAUUGCCAACUUUCGGUCUUCCUGCCAUCGCCUCUCCUGUAGAGCUGAGAUCGAAAGUGAAUCUGAAAUCCAUGGAUGUUAAAAUCGCUGUUUGAUAAUACAAUGGUAAAAAUCCAUCCUAAUCCACGAAAAGUUUUUUUCAUAAAAAAAAAAUCCAUCCUAAAAAUCCACGAAAUCUUUUCAUUGACUAAAAAUCCAUACAAAAGAUCCACCAAAAGUUUUUUUCCAUAAAAAAAUUUCAUCCUAAAAAUCCACGAAAAUUUUUCCUUGUAAAAAAUCCAUCCUAAAAGAUCCACGAAAAAUUUGUUCCAUGAAAAAAUUUCCAUCCUAAAAGAUCGUUUAUUUUUCUGAGUCACUCUAAAAGAUAUCCACGAAAUAUUAGUCAGGGUAAAAAAAAUCCGUGGAUGUAUCAAACGUCCUAGCCAUCGCCUCUCCCGUAAAGCUGAGAUGCAAAGUGGAUCUGCAAUCCAUGGAUGUUAACAUCGCUGUUUGAUAAUACAAUGGAUCUCUCUCUCAAUUAGAUCUGAGAUCCACGGCUAUGAAACCCGCCUUUCAAUAAGCCAAGCUUUUGUUUUAUCGUCCGAAAUGUGCGAGAUGUGAAUGUCACAUUAACAACAACGCUGCUUCGAUGAAGUCUACAAACGAAAUUAAAUCCAAAUUUCAAACGAUCGGUGGAGCGCGCCAACAAAGGAAACUUAAUAAACACUUAAUAGGAAAGUAACCUUCUUAUGUAGUCACUGAUGAGUGAGGUCGUCCAUAAAAACGUAACCGUCGGUUUCUUCCCUUUCCCGCUUUCGCGCGCUUUCAGCCCUCAACCGCGACCAUCGCUCGCUCUCCCGCCGGCGCUCUCCACCACCACCGCUGCUCUCUCUCCAGUCCACGAUCUCCACCACCACCGCUCCUCGCUCUCCAGUCCGCGAUCUCCACCACCAUCGCUCCUCGCUCUCCAGUCCGCGAUCUCCACCACCAUCACCGUGUCCCGAAGAGAACUCCAGAGCAAGGGGGCGCUGUCAUAGAAGAAAGAGGAAGAAGGAGAAAGAACAUGGUCAUUGAUUCUUUUGAGUCUUUGUGGAUGUUGAGCUUCUUGUGAUAGCGGCACAUGUAGGGAUCAUGUGACCCUAGACACCUUACCGGAUCACUCUCUCCAUCUACCUCACCGCCCGUCGGAUUAUUAGAUCGAUCAUCGUGCCUCCCGCCUGCCUACCGUUUGGACCUCAUAUCUGAUCAACUUUGCUCUCCUGUCCAUCGUUGUUCUAUCUGACGCUUUCUGAAGUUUCAAUACUUUGAACAAACAUGAUACU